rnacentral:tRNA from 1 species
GCCCGUGUGGCGCAAUCGGAUAGCGCGUGUGGCUUCUAACCACAAGGUUGGGGGUUCAAGUCCCCCCACGGGUA